UGAGCAAGCCGGGCAGUUGCGGGCGCGAGGCGAAAGCGCGCGUCUGAGGAAAGUCCGAGCUUCAUAGGGCAAGGAUAACGGCUAACCGCCGCCGGGGGCGACCCCAGGGAAAGUGCAACAGAGAUAUACCGCCAAAAGCCUGCGUUAGUGCAGUCUUUGGUAAGGAUGGAAAGGCGAGGUAAGAGCUCACCGGCGCAGGGGGAACCCUGCGGCCCUGUAAACCCUAUCCGAAGCAACACCGUGGAGGAGCGUCCCUUUAGUGGGAAAGCGUGGCCCGCGCGCUCUGUGGAGGUGGCGUGAGCCUGUUGGUAACGGCAGGCCAAGAUAGAUGACUGCUCAAGACAGAACUCGGCUUAUAGACUUGGUCACAUU
rnacentral:RNase_P_RNA from 1 species